rnacentral:rRNA from 1 species
AGGUUUGGCACCUCGAUGUCGGCUCAUCACAUCCUGGGGCUGUAGUAGGUCCCAAGGGUUGGGCUGUUCGCCCAUUAAAGUGGUACGCGAGCUGGGUUCAGAACGUCGUGAGACAGUUCGGUCCCUAUCCGUCGCAGGCGUAGGAAAUUUGAGAAGACCUGUCCUUAGUACGAGAGGACCGGGAUGGACGUACCUCUGGUGUACCAGUUGUCCUGCCAAGGGCAUGGCUGGGUAGCUAUGUACGGAAUGGAUAAGCGCUGAAAGCAUCUAAGCGCGAAGCCAACUUCAAGAUAAGAUUUCCCACCGCAAGGGUAAGACCCCAGAAAGACUAUCUGGUUGAUAGGUCGAAGGUGUAAGUGCAGCAAUGUAUUUAGCUUAUCGAUACUAAUAGGUCGAGGACUUGACCAAU